UGGGAUGACGUCAAGUCCUCAUGGCCUUUAUGCCCAGGGCUACACACGUGCUACAAUGGGUGGUACAAAGAGAUGCAAUCUCGCAAGAGCAAGCAAACCUCAAAAAGCCAUCCUCAGUUCGGAUUGGAGUCUGCAACUCGACUCCAUGAAGUCGGAAUCGCUAGUAAUCGCGGAUCAGCACGCCGCGGUGAAUACGUUCCCGGGCCUU
rnacentral:rRNA from 1 species